rnacentral:rRNA from 1 species
CCAGACUCCUACGGGAGGCAGCAGUGGGGAAUAUUGCACAAUGGGGGAAACCCUGAUGCAGCAACGCCGCGUGAGUGAAGAAGUAUUUCGGUAUGUAAAGCUCUAUCAGCAGGGAAGAAAAUGACGGUACCUGAGUAAGAAGCCCCGGCUAACUACGUGCCAGCAGCCGCGGUAAUACGUAGGGGGCAAGCGUUAUCCGGAUUUACUGGGUGUAAAGGGAGCGUAGACGGCGAUACAAGUCUGAAGUGAAAGCCCGGGGCUCAACCCCGGGACUGCUUUGGAAACUGUGUUGCUGGAGUGCUGGAGAGGCAAGCGGAAUUCCUAGUGUAGCGGUGAAAUGCGUAGAUAUACGGAGGAACACCAGUGGCGAAGGCAGCUUACCAGACUGCGACUGACGCUGAAGCACGAGAGCGUGGGUAGCGAACAGGAUUAGAUACCCCCGUACU